rnacentral:tRNA from 1 species
AUUUAAAUAGCUUAAAAAAAGUUUAAUAUUGAAGAUAUUAAGAUGGUUUAGAACCUUUAAAUA